rnacentral:rRNA from 1 species
UAGGGAAUAUUGGACAAUGGGGGCAACCCUGAUCCAGCCAUGCCGCGUGAGUGAAGAAGGCCCUCGGGCUGUAAAGCUCUUUUGUCCGGAAAGAAAAGCAUUCGGUGAAUACCCGGAUGUUCUGACGGUACCGGAAGAAUAAGCACCGGCUAACUUCGUGCCAGCAGCCGCGGUAAUACGAAGGGUGCAAGCGUUACUCGGAAUUACUGGGCGUAAAGCGUGCGUAGGUGGUUGUUUAAGUCUGAUGUGAAAGCCCUGGGCUCAACCUGGGAAUGGCAUUGGAAACUGGGCAGCUAGAGUGCGGUAGAGGGGAGUGGAAUUCCAGGUGUAGCAGUGAAAUGCGUAGAGAUCGGGAGGAACAUCUGUGGCGAAGGCGACUGCCUGGACCAGCACUGACACUGAGGCACGAAAGCGUGGGGAGCAAACA